rnacentral:tRNA from 1 species
UCCCUCUUAGCUCAGUUGGUAGAGCGUGUCACUAGUAUGUGGAAUGACCCCCAUGUCAUGACGAGGUCAGUUGUUCAAGUCGGCUAGAGGGAA